UGCAUGAGAAGAAUUGCAUUUGACAUGUUUCGAUAUGGAUUUGGGAGCGGUGUGGGAAACCUAUGUCUUAAGUGAAAUUAGUACUAUGAUGGCAUACAUGUUGGCCUAUUAAACUGACUUGUGAUUAUACGGACAGAAACUUAUGUUCCCGCUGACAUUAUACAGGUUCAUGCUCAAUUACUUCUUUGUUUCUGUAAAAAUGCAUAAUCUACUCUUUGUAGACUUGAAUCAUUUGGAUUAUUGUGCUUUAGGAGUGCGAUGGAGAUACACACAGGGUAUUAUCAAACAUGUAGGCAAUGGAGUAGCUGAGAAAAGCAGUUGUAUAGCACGUACUUGGGAACGAACCUGCUGAUGUUUACAGAGAAAAGCAGUUACAACACAUCGUGGUCCAAGAUGAAGUCCUAGCCAAUAGGUUGGGCCUUAUUCCCAUCAAAGCUGACCCAAGGCUAUUCGAAUAUGUUUCAGGUACUUCUUCAAGGUCUUUCUUCAAGGGAUUUGAUAUGUGGAAGGAAGAAACUGUAAUGAAGGUCAGCUUACUUAGAUUUCACAGAUGGUGAUAGUUUCUCCAAGGCCUUGGAACUUAACGGUUCAGAACUUGGGGACUAUGCCUUGAGCUAAGAAGUGACAACCAUGAAGGUGGUGGCAGGAG